UAUUUAUCUAAUAUAAUCAGUAUAUUUGACUUCCAAUCAAAAAGUUUGUAUAAAUCAAGAUAAAUAA
rnacentral:tRNA from 1 species